AGCUCCAGGUGGAAAGCAGGUGUGGCCUCCGCCCAUAUCACAUGCAUUUGUGAUAGAGGUGCUAGAAGGCUUUCAUUUGUUUUUUUCAUUUUUCAUUGUUUUUUUCAUUUGUUUUUGCUCCUUAGUGGAUUUUGUGUCAGCAGCAUGUGGGAUUUCCUUUGGUCACUUAACAUCAUCUUAUCAUCUGGACACCAGCACUCAGAACAGCACGGCAGCUCUACUUCAUGGCUUCUACUUCAUGGCUGCAGGACUGCCAGCUGAAAAUUCAUCUGAAAUGUGACUACAGCAGUGCAAAUGCUCAGCUUGGGUAAGGAGAAGACUUUGAAAGCAGAGAAACAGUACAGUGGUGAUCAAGAAUUAUGAUAAUGCCAAUCAGAGAGCAUCUAAUGGCAAUUAAUGUGGAUGGCACACAAAUGGCCAGAAACAAACAUACAGUAUAAAAGAAUGUUGAACAUAAUGAGAGAAAGAAAGGAAUGUGAAUCAGGGCUGGAAAAGACUGGGGUCCACCUCAAAAAAUGUCUGAAAUCUCAGAGCUUGAGUCACACUGUCUCCUUUACAUCCAUGUAUUACCUUUGCCAGAAGACGAGAAGAGAUGUAGAGGCCGUCAGUCCACGUCAAGUGCCACGCUAGAAGAAAAAAAGGAGGAAAAAAUACCAUUGCAUGUGAAUCCUUGUGGUAACUGAGGCACUCUUCUGCAAUGAGAGGAUUAACAUUGGUUCAUUUCACUGCUCAACUUGUUUUGAAGGAGAAAAAAGUCUUCCCUAGGAGACCAUGGAGAUAGUACCAAAACAGACAGAUAGAGGGACUCUCCUGCAUGCGUAGGCAAAGUAUAUAAUCAUCUUGUAUAAGACAUAUAUUUCUUUCCUCAAAAAUUAGUUGAGUCAAAAACCUUCGAUCAAUUAUAUGUUUUGCCAUUUAUAACUCAUAGAAUACUUUAUUAAUAUUACUUGCAUAAAGUUUACAUCAAUCGUGACCAUAAAGGAUAAACAUGUUUUUAUUAAAAUGUUGUCUUAAGUUUACCAAGGAUCUUGGUCUCUAUCUUGCAGGGACCUGCUUCUCGUACAUCUCAGCACACACCAGUGUUUCGUAUCACAGAUUUGUCGGCAUUGGAAGAUCUAAAGAUCAUCUAGUGCAACCCCUCUGCUAAAGCAGGUUCCCUAGAGUAGGUUGCAGAGGACCUCUAUCUUUUCUGUCUGCUUUCCUACUAGCACAGUAUGAUGUCCUUCAAAGAGAAACGCAAAGCUUUCUGUUUGUGCUUCCCCUUUUAGAUGACUUGAUCAUUUCAAGCUAGUUGAGAGUGGUUCCUUUUUUUUCCUCAUGAAAAUUUCUGAUCAUGAGGAAAAUAUACAAUAAAGUACUAUUCUGACCGCUGGCCA
rnacentral:lncRNA from 1 species